GGGGCGCUGGACUGGUUGGACGGGCUAUCUUCAGGGGUUCCGAUUGCCGUCAGCUGCUGUAGAUCGGCCUUCCUGAGAAUUCUUCGGUGGCCACCGUCAUCCCCGCGGAGGCAGGGAUGGCAGGGGACCUUGAAUAAGGGGGCAAUGCGUCAGGGUGGACACACAACAGCGAAAACUCCUAGCCGGGGAAAGUCGAGGGAUAGAGGACGUGAAGU
rnacentral:SRP_RNA from 1 species